UACGAAGGGGGCUAGCGUUGCUCGGAAUCACUGGGCGUAAAGGGUGCGUAGGCGGGCAUUUAAGUCAGUGGUGAAAUACCUGAGCUAACUUGGGAACUGCCAUUGAUACUAUUUGUCUUGAAUGUCGUGGAGGUUAGCGGAAUAUGUCAUGUAGCGGUGAAAUGCUUAGAUAUGACAUAGAACACCUAUUGCGAAGGCAGCUAACUACGCGAAUAUUGACGCUGAGGCACGAAAGCGUGGGGAUCAAACAGG
rnacentral:rRNA from 1 species